GAUGAACGCUAGCGGCAGGCCUAACACAUGCAAGUCGAACGGGAUCCAUCAGCUUGCUGAUGGUGAGAGUGGCGCACGGGUGAGUAACGCGUAUGCAACCUACCUUUUACAGUGGGAUAGCCCAGAGAAAUUUGGAUUAAUACCGCAUAGUAUGCACGACCGGCAUUGGUUGUGCAUUAAACAUUUAUGGGUAAGAGGUGGGCAUGCGUUCUAUUAGUUAGUUGGAGUGGUAACGGCAUCCCAAGACAGCGAUAGAUAGGGGCCCUGAGAGGGGGAUCCCCCACACUGGUACUGAGACACGGACCAG
rnacentral:rRNA from 1 species